AUUGAACGCUGGCGGCAGGCUUAACACAUGCAAGUCGAGCGGUGCGGCGGACGGGCGAGUAAUGCCUAGGAAUCUGCCUGGUAGCGGGGGAUAAGGUACGGAAACGGGCGCUAAUACCGCAUACUAUCAGAUGAGCCUAGGUCGGAUUAGCUAGUUGGUGGGGUAAGGGCCUACAAAGGCGACGAUCCGUAGCUGGUCUGCGUGGAUGAUCAGUCACACUGGAACUGAGACACGGUCCAGACUCCUACGGGAGGCAGCAGUGGGGAAUAUUGGACAAUGGGCGAAAGCCUGAUCCAGCCAUGCCGCGUGUGUGAAGAAGGUCUUCGGGUUGUAAAGCACUUUAAGUUGGGAGGCGUUACCAACAGAAUAAGCACCGGCUAACUUCGUGCCAGCCGCCGCGGUAAUAC
rnacentral:rRNA from 1 species